rnacentral:rRNA from 1 species
UGGGGAAUAUUGCACAAUGGGCGAAAGCCUGAUGCAGCAACGCCGCGUGAGUGAUGAAGGUUUUCGGAUUGUAAAGCUCUGUCUUUUGGGGACGAUAAUGACGGUACCAAAGGAGGAAGUCACGGCUAACUACGUGCCAGCAGCCGCGGUAAUACGUAGGUGGCGAGCGUUGUCCGGAUUUACUGGGCGUAAAGGGUGCGUAGGCGGAUGUUUAAGUGAGAUGUGAAAUACCCGGGCUUAACUUGGGUGCUGCAUUUCAAGCUGGAUAUCUAGAGUGCAGGAGAGGAGAAUGGAAUUCCUAGUGUAGCGGUGAAAUGCGUAGAGAUUAGGAAGAACACCAGUGGCGAAGGCGAUUCUCUGGACUGUAACUGACGCUGAGGCACGAAAGCGUGGGUAGCAAACAGGAUUAGAUACCCUGGUAGUCCACGCCGUAAACGAUGAGUA